CAGUCGCCACGGUAACACGGAGGGGGCUAGCGUUGUUCGGAAUUACUGGGCGUAAAGGGAGCGUAGGCGGAUCGUUAAGUUGGGGGUGAAAGCCCGGGGCUCAACCUCGGAAUUGCCUUCAAUACUGGCGAUCUUGAGUAUGGAAGAGGUAUGUGGAACUCCGGGUGUAGAGGUGAAAUUCGUAGAUAUUCGGAAGAACACCAGUGGCGAAGGCGACAUACUGGUCCAUUACUGACGCUGAGGCUCGAAAGCGUGGGGAGCAAACAGGAUUAGAUACCCCGGUAGUCCCUGUCUCUUAUAC
rnacentral:rRNA from 1 species